AAAUGUAUGUUGACGUAUUCUGAAAGGGAUACUUCUUCGGACAAUAUACAAGGUGCUGCAUGGUUGUCGUCAGCUCGUGCCGUGAGGUGUCGGGUUAAGUCCCAUAACGAGCGCAACCCUAUCAUUAGUUGCCAUCAGGUCAAGCUGGGGACUCUAAUGAAACUGCCUACGCAAGUAGUGAGGAAGUGGGGAUGACGUCAAAUCAGCACGGCCCUUACGUCCAGGGCUACACACGUGCUACAAUGGCCGGUACAAAGGGCAGCUACCUGGUGACAGGAUGCUAAUCUCAAAAGCCGGUCUCAGUUCGGAUCGGAGUCUGCAACCCGACUCCGUGAAGUUGGAAUCGCUAGUAAUCGUGGAUCAGCAUGCCACGGUGAAUACGUUCCCGGGCCUU
rnacentral:rRNA from 1 species